rnacentral:lncRNA from 10 species
CUUGUUUUGUUUAUGUUUGUGUUUAGAGACAUUUAAUAUAUAUUGUUGACUUACUAACAUCGAACUCAUGGCCAAUAGCACUAUAACUUACGGCUGAACAAAGCUUAUCAAGUCUUUUCUCUAUAAGGCACAUCCCAGCCUUCUUGCACUUAGGAGCACUAGACGGCAUUUCUCAGCACUAUACAAGGGGCUAUUUAAAACAGAAUAAUCACCCACAAAAAGCACAACAAUUCAAAAAAAAAUCUGGUACUAAUUUAGACUACAAAAGGGACAUAUGUUUACAGUAUGAUAGUUUAAACGAGUAGGAAGAAAGUCACCUGACUGACCUCUGGUAGGAAUGCACGUGUAUGUCGGGCAACUCAACAUUUUUCACUGCUCUGUACAUGUUACUGAAUGACUACAAAAGUCAGAAAUUGUGAGUAUUGAUUUUGGGGUUAACAAAUAAAUUUUAGCAGGCAGGCCGACUUAAAAAUAUGGAAUCCACAAUGGG